UGAUCUCAUUAGCAGCAAGAUUAGAAAGUCCUUCAGCACCUCUACCAGUGUGCUGAGCCCUGAAUGCUCAUCAUGUGGGAUGUCACACAGGUGCCUCCGUUCUGGUGGUGUGGGGAUGGCCUAAGGGCCCUGCAGAAGCCGGCGAGCUGAUCCACAAAAAGGCGCCUGAAGAUCAGCUGUUUUUUUCUGCACCGAAAAGAGGACCUGAAGUUUUGGCUUUGCAACUUGCUUCAGGAUAUGACCAUUUUUCAAACUUACAAAAAUGUUUGCAGACAGGUAACUCGGCACAGCUGUGCAACCCUUGACAACACGAGGCUCUCUCUGGUGUCUGCUAUCUCCCCAGAGCAUCGUGACAAACUGGUGAAAGGUCCUUCCAGGCUCUUUGCAACUGCCUCUCAAAGCCUCUUUUGCUCUGGUGAAGGCGUUUAUGUGGUGACCACAGCAGGAGCACGCAAACGGCUUCAUUUCACACCACCACACUGUAUUUCAGGGUACUUCAAUGUCUCCCUAUGACAUAUCCUCAGGAAAUGCUUUGUCUCUUGGUUGAAUCCUGAAACAGGUUGUGUCUGAUUGGCAGCCCAGCAGCAAAACUUCUUGUGACUCAUUUAAGGAUCACAGAAACAAAAGAAUCUCUUUACCUCACAGUAAAAGUACCUUACAGCCCCAUCUGGAGAACAUCCCCUGUCCCUGUGCCUGCAGGACCAUCCUGAAGUUCAACCCCAUGAGAUGUCAAAUGGCAGACACCUCUCUGACCUCCAGAGGGGACCCAGCACCAGCCUGGAUAGGAGGUUUUGGGAGAGAGGAGAGGUAAACAGAUGUGAGGGAGAAAGCGUGCAACCGAAAGGGAGAGAGGCUGUUGGAAGGUUUCGUCAUUCCCCUGUCUAGAAGAUAUUUCUCCAUUGACUCUAUUUAAAGUCAGCCCCAGGCUUGUGGGCUUACAGAGCUUUUAGCAGAUGAAAGAACUCACUCAUCAGGCAGAGUUUUCUUAUGUGCCUUUUUUUUUUUUUUUUUUUUUUUUUUCCUCCCCAGCUCUCACCGGUCUGUUUUAAAGCCAUUUCAGCAAUUGUUGAAAACUGUCAGAUGCCUUUGACAGAUCAAUACCUUACCGGGGAAUUUGCAUGACCUGUUCGCCAAUCAAAAUGCAAAUUGGGGAUACGUUUAAAGCACGAGCCCCCAAUUUGUCUUCCAAACGCUGCUGGAAAGUCAUGAAAGCAAUUUAGCUGUUCCUGGGACUGCACCUUGUCUCCAGGCUCACUUCUGGCGAUGCCGCUGUGCUAUUUUUAUUUUUUUUUUGCCAGGCGGGAAUGUGCGUGUGUGUAUGUGUGUGUGUGUAUGCAUGCUACAGGCGUUGUUUCCAAGUCGGGAAUAUAAAUCUUCCUCUCGGACUGAGUGAGAUUUAUAGCUCUGCCACGGGGCUCCCGGCACCUCUCAGCCCCACACCUCUGCUUGGGACUGGGGCAGGAGCAGGGAUGGGGCAUGGGAACGGGGACGGCUCCGGCUUCCCUGCUCCUGCCUCGCUUCUCUUUUUUCCAGAUGGCAUUAGGGUUUGGAGACAGAGCAGAGGCUUGUGCCAACAGCUCACACUGCGGCAAUAAUGAGAGCCAUUUAACGGAGGUUGAGUCAACAAAAACAUGCUUCCCUCUCAACAAAUAAAUGCUUUUAUUCCUCCUCCUUGUUUUUCGCGCUAGGAGCUUUGUUCUAAGUGAAAUUGCCGGAUCAACAUCGCAAGAGAUGAGAACAUUUGAUUUAGCUCUGAAAUAGGUACGGGUGGUGUCCUGGUGGCACAGGCUGUUGUGUUGGUCCCUGUUCCCGUCCCUCAAGCUGGGCAAGCAAACCUGCCUUGGAGCAUUCACACCUGAUCAGCAUUAUCCAUCCAUCCCAGUCUGAGAACCCGGUCUAAGCCUGCUUAUCUGGUUUUCUUUCUUUUUCUGGUAGUAAACAGGUUUUAUUUUUCCCACUCCUUUAAAACUUUCUGAAAGAGGAGGCCUACUUUGUUUGAAAAUAAUUGAUUUCCCCUGAAAAUAUCCCUCCCCCCAUAAUAACCUCACAGUUUUGAUUUAAAGCCACCUGCAAAGGUGGUGUGAGGGGUUUUGUCUUUAAUGAGAACUUGAGAUGCUCUAUGCAAGACAAAAAGCCUGACCAGCCCAUUCUUCAGAUGGAAACGACAUGAUUUCAUGCAGACUCAUGCAUGAAAAUUUACACAUAUUCCUUUAAAACUCAUUUGGAAACAAAAGGCUCUGUCAGCUCUAUCUACCCAUGGAGCUAUCUGUUGCUGACAGUCAUACUGAACCCACUGGCAUCUCAUUAUGAAUCACUUACCCCACAGGCCCAGACCUGGGAACUGCAGAUUCUGCUGUAUGGGACAUUUCCUGGCAUUACUCAAAGCAGGACAGUUAUUUUGGAAAUGGACUAAGUUCAUUCCAAAGGAAAUU